rnacentral:tRNA from 1 species
UCCCUACUGGCUCAGAUGGUAAAGCAUUUGCCUGGAAUGCGGAAGACCUGGGGUUCGAUCCCUGGGUUGGGAA